UGCAGUCAGGACAUGAACCUUGCCUCAGGCUAUGGCAUCCAGCUCACUCAGACUCCUGCAUAUGGAAGCCCAUCAGGGCCUGUUUGUAAGGCAGUCUGCAGUGUGGCCGUUUCGCUGUUGCACAAAGGAGAAAUGGACAUUCCCAUAAUUCACUUUGGCAAGAAACCAGGCAGAGAUCUACAGGACUUCAUAAAAAUGGAUCCCACCAGCUGUGUAUCUGCCGAACUGACAUUCAGCUCUCCAAACUGCACUGUUUCAAAAAGACCCAGCUACCAAAUGACGUACUCUGGAACAGAUUCCCAGUCUGCAGUGUACAUCUGUGUUCAAAUUGAUUUGCUUGAAGAUGAGGAAUGUGGGCUCUGGCCUAAGACAAUUAAAAAUCUGGAACAUGAAUUACGACCUGGAGCAUUCUGGAAAUGGGACACCUUCUUCUUUCGGAACUGAAACAGGACCACUCUAAACCCUGAAGUGCAGAAACUCAUGUUCUGUCCUGUAUAAACAACUGUGGUACCUGAAGAAGUUCCCCUACUCAUAGAAACAAGGCUGAAGACGCUCAGCAGAGCAAGAGCAUCCCACAAGCAAAGUGGAGAUGUGUGCUCUGAUUAAAAGCUCAUCGAAGCUAAUGGCGUAACUCCAGUUGACUUUAUGAGCAUUCAGAUGAUUUCUGGUGAAAAUCAUCAGUUUUCCAUCAAAAUUGUAAGUGAAAUUACAUUCUCCCAUGCAUGUUGAUCACCACAAUUGCUGCAUGUUUAAUCAGUUCUUGAUUAUUUCAGUAGGAUAUCAGUUGGCCUUUUUUAGGUCAACUGAGAUGCGUGGACAGCUAAAAUAUCCUGUCUGAGCCCUCCAAAUGGUGAUAUGGAUGAUCAGUAGGAACACAAUCCUGUUUCUCCCGGUGACUGCCACAGAAGCAGGAUUUUCACCUGUUUCUUGCUUUUUCCUAGCCCUGGAUCUCGUUCCUGUUGAUGUCAUCCUUUCUUAUUAACACCACAUGUUUGCUACAGCCAUACCUCACUAGGUCCUGUGGCUGUGCCAUGGCUUUAUCACUUCAGAUAGUAAUGGAGAUGGAUCAGCUAUUUGUAUCAAAAAUACAAAUGCAGAAGGUCUGAGAAUCGCCUAAUUGAAUUGCUCCUGAGUUAGGCCAAAGGCUUCAUUAACACCAGUGCUACAAUAAGCAGGUACUCUCACUUUUCUGAGUGAGGAUUAUCCACGUUCUGUCUUUUGGAGCAGAAGAAAUUAGGCACUGCCAUUAGCGUGACAAGCACUUGGAUAACAUGUGCAACUGAAAAGUUGAAAAGAGGUCUCAUAAAAUAGUUUCUUUAUCUGGAAGACCAGGAAUUGCUUGGUCUGCUCCCUAGAUAGCUGAAUAGGUAGCUGAAGAUCUCCUUCCAAUGGGAUGUACAUGAUUCUGCAGUCCCGGGCUCAUUUAACUGUCUUUUUGUUGUUGUGACUAAAUAGUAUGACUAUAUACACACUCAGCUAAAGCCCCCGGCAUUAAGUUUGAAAGAACUUGUAGAAAGGAACAACAUCUCCCUGUGUAGCAAGUUUUGCUUCACUGGUUUUUAUUCAUGAGCUUUUACAUGACAACCUACUGCAGCCUGAUUUUCUUACUCACUGAAGUGAUUAAAGCAAUAUCACCCUGGAGACUCCUUGUUUGUCUGCACAUAUCAUCGCCACUGUCUUAUCUUCCUCCAAAGCAGGGGCAGAGGCCUGGCGUGCUGGAAAUUUGGCAUGAUGAGGUUUGUUCUCAUUUCAUAAUAGAGCCAUUCUGUUUUCUCUCUUUUAGGUUUGCUGAAGUUUCUUCCUGGUAACUUUAUUAAAGAAUUAAGAAAAUGGUAAUUAUAAUCUAGAAGAGCACAUUAUAUCAUAGAAUCGUAGAAUCACUUGAGUUGGAAGGGACCCUUAAAGGCAUCUGAUCCAACUCCUCUGCAACGAACAGGGGCACCUACAGCUCCAUCAGGUGCCCAGAGUCUGGACUAAAAGGUGUCAUAAAGCAGUACUUCACCCUUACAGUGGUUCAAAUUGAGCUAAACAGAGUGUAUGGAUAGAGAGGCAUUGCCUUAUAGUGCCAACAGAUGCACUGUGAUACAGAAAGCACUGUAUGGAAACCUGUGUUGCAGAGCAGGCUCAGGACUUUGACAUCUAUGCACAGCAAUAAUUAUGGCUUUUAGCCCACAUCAUACAUAUGCUGAUGGAGGGGGGAUAGGAAGGAGGGGGGGGAAAAAAAAGGCUGAAGUAAAGCAACACUUUGUACUAGACAACACUGAUGAGCUUCAGCCUGGGAGCUCAACUAAACCAAUCUGCUGAGCAGAUAUUGCUAUAGCGAGUAUGAAGUACAGGCAUGUAAAUGGGUUGAAAAGCCACUGCAGAAGUUCUAGUAGGACCACCAGUGCUCAGAUCUGGUUACUUAAGCAUUGCUUUACUCAAACUACUUAGUGCACUAAGCUUCCCAGAAGGGAGGAUCUCUGUGGGUAAUUUGUGGAACGACUUACCAGUGGGCAGUUUGCCUGAGAAUAUGGAAUCUGCAGUUCUUAAUGUGGCCUUUUCCAGCCCCAUGCCCUGCUUGCAAGGGAUGACGUGGCAUUGCUCAAAGAGCAACCAAAUGGACCUUGUAAGCCAAAAAUGUUUUUUUUCCAGCCUUUAUCUUAAUUUUGUAUUUGUAUUUUUUUUUUUAAUAACAAAUCCAGGACAUUUUUGAAAAGCUCAACCCUAGAAGGAAGUAAAUUCACGUUGUAAGAUUAUUUCUGGAUAUGGAUACCUAAAGUGCAGCUUGCAAACUGUUCUUUGUCUGCUCUUUUUUCCACCCUGUCAUUGGACUAAAUGCUAAAAAAUGUUAUGUCAUUACCUCUUGUGUUCAAGCUCAGACAAGUCGUAGUGACUUCCAGAGCUCCUCUGGAGACUCAUCUUUCCUACACUGCUGCAGCAGUACAGAAAAGGAGAGCUGUGUUCUUGUUCAUUAGUCUGGUUAUUGAAUGAGAUUUCUCUCAUGAGAAAGCUCUGUAGAACUCCAUAGAAUACUUUUUAUUUUCUAGAAUAAUUCACUUUCUUCUGAAAGCAAAUUGUCUUGCCUAAAAGAUACAAGCACUUUAAUUAAGGAUGGAUGUCUUUCUAAAGGAAUUUCUCCAGCUCAGCUGGGUACCACUAAGCUCAAAGCAGGAACUGGACUGAGGACUUCCCACAACAGACCAUUGCCUCAGCUGGGCAGCACAGCCUCACUGGGAGAACCUUCCCAGCCUCAGUGCUGCAGCACUGAGUUUUGGAAGAUUCCUGCUACAGCACAUUAUUUUGGAAAAGGAUCUGAGACUGAAAGAUGAACUGUCUUUGCUGCUCUUUAGAACAGCAGGGUACAGCGUGACGGGACUCAUGUGAGGCAUCCUCAGCCUUCUGUAGCAAACGCUGCUGGCUGCUAUGAACACCUCAGCCAUAGAUAGAUAGAUUUUUUGCUGUUGUCCAUCCAUCUCAGGUGAAUAAGAAAGAGAAGUCAGAGGAAAUAGAGAUGUUCAUUCUGGUGAAAAUAAAAUAUUUAAACUAAAAAAAAAAAAAAAAGGAGAAGACAACUGGAAGAAAUUCUCUCCAAUCAGUUUACAGUGUAGUUCCUCCUCUCCCCAGAAAUAAUUCUUUGAAAUAUUUACAAAUAAUGGGAAGAAGUAACUGUUUGGCUUCAGCACUGAGGGAGCCUGUGUGAACAGCAGCAAUUUAGGACAUUGCCAGUAACGACCUAGGUACAUUGACCUAAUUACAUGAAUGAGGUGUAGUGCUUACAGUCUUUGCAUAGAUGAAAGUUGCUGGUUUCUUGAAUGACCAAAGAAUGAAAUAACUUUUAGAAAACAAUACAUUAAAAUCUUAUUUAAAAGAAUGCUUUAUUUACUUUUUUUUUCCCCUUCUCCAUAGCUGGGAGGGUAGAAAACAUUUCCCUGAUGAUAUUAUAAUAAUGUUGAAAUGCAAUUCCCUGAGUAGGCUGAGUAAUUUCAAAUCCUGACUAAGAUAUUUAAUUUGAAAUUAUUUAAGUGGUUACUUGGCUGAAAGGGAUUCUGAAAACAAGAUCUACUUAUGAGUCUUCAGGCUAAGGAAACAUUCUAGUGAAUUUAAUUAAGAAUGAGAUUCUUUACCAGCUUCAAUCCAUUAAGUAACCUGCAGGUUUGUAUCUUGGUAAUUAAUGUCUGCUGGUUAAUACAGUAAUCACGGUCACAUUUGCAGCAAAUAAGGACUCUAAUCAAACAACAACAUCAACACAGUAUAUACAGAGGUUCUCUUCCCCCCCUCUCCCCCUCCCCCUCCUUGGAGGAACCUCUUGGAUGUAUUUAUACAUUUUAUUAAUAGAGCUGGUACUACUUAUCUCAUAAAUCUACAUAGUGUUAUAUACUGGUGUUCUAGGAUUGAGCAAGAUGCAGAAGAGGCGGCUGUCUGGCAAUUUUUAACAGUAAAAUUUUCUGAUAAGGGAACUGAGCUUUUAUUUUUCCUUGUUGUGACUCCUAAAAGGCUUCGAGAUGCUAUUUUUGAAAAAAGAAAUACAAAAAGGGAACAGUUUUACUUGGGAGCUUGCUUCAUGGCAGUGGUCCUUCCAAAAGCAAUCCAUUGACAUAACAGGGAAGAGCUGGAGGAAUGCUGAAAAAUGAUGCUACAAAAUGAUCUACGCUCACCACAGGCGUCCAUUCCCUCCCUCUCACUGCACCCACAGCUGGGAAUUGCUCAGGAUGUCUGUGACAAAGAAAGCUGGAGAAAACAAGAAUCAAGUACUCAGGAUCACAGUGUAAAUAAGACAACCAGUCUAUGGGAGUGGAAUGGCACACAAGGUAAAUGCUUUCAUUGUUCACAUUUGCUGCCAAAUUCCAAAUGGCAGUAGGCCUUGACAGCGCUGAUGGUCUCUCGUGCCUGGACUUGUAACAAAUCUUUUAACUUCAUCAGUUCUUCAGGAAAGAGAAAGCCUUUUUAGUUCUUUGAAAAUAUGAUUAGAAUGCACACAAGAGGUCCUCUGUAUGCUUAUAAAAGCUUUCUUUUCUCUGUUACAUUUUUCUGUCCCUUGGAAAAGUACUCAAAUAUUCAAAGAUGCCAAAAUCAAAGCGAGCUAGCAUCCAGUUAAUCCCACCAGCAGGUGUCUGCAGGUAGCUGGUGAAGACUUUGUAGACAUGAUGUUUCAGGCAUCAUCUGGUGAAAAGGAAAAUGUGGAAGAAAGAGAGCUUUUUGUUAAUUAUUACUUCCUUAGCUAGUCAAGUCCUAGCUUCUUUAUCAUUUAAUUUGUGCAUGAUUUUUCACUAAUACAAAGGAAAAGAUAGAAAGACCUGAAAAUUGAAUCUAGUUCCAGAGCUAGAAAUAACUGCCAUCUUAUUUCUCCUCUUUGUUUCUCAAGAGUUGAGCUUUUUUUCUUCUUUUUUUCUUUUCUUCUUUCUUCUUCUUUUUUUUUUUUUUUUUUUCCUGGAAAAAUACACCUUGAUAUCUUGCUAUAAUUAGAAUUUCAAAAGGAAGUCAGUGAUCUGUUUUUAGAAUUUUGUUUGAAUGAAUCAACAGAAUAAUAAUGUUGGUUUCUUUGUGUCUUAUUCCUAUUAUUACUGUUCUGUAUCGUCAUCUCAAUUAAAAAGGAUAAACAGGGGAAGUAUUAUGUAGAUGAAGGAAAAGUUUAACUAUGACUAUGGACUGAAAUUAGAAAUAAAAUAAGAAAAAGGUGCAAUAGUUACAAGGAAAAUAAUAAUUUAAUUUAAAAUGUUUAGAUUAACAUGCAAGCAAAGUAAAUUGCUGAGGAGGGAUCAUAAUUUCAUUCUUGUUAAGAGCUGCUGAAUGUAUUCCUACUGUAUUGUAACAUUCACUGAGGAGUUUCAGCAGUAGGUCCUAAGUGUUGAUCUCCCUUGAAGGUGACCCUGAAUUUUCCAUAGAAGAGUUCAUCCUUAAUCUUCCUGUAAAAAAGGAAGACUUUAUUAUUUAUUAAAGAGCUGAGAAACCUUAAAAACCACUGUAAAUAAAUGGCUUCUCUUUUACAGAUAAACACUAAUAAACUCCUUUUCAGAACAAGCUGGCGCAAAGAUGUGGCAAAAAUAACCAAGAGUGAGAAAUAAAACAAUGUAGACUAUGGAUCAGCCUUUCCGAUGGGGUGCUGUUGGCAGUUUAACUACAGAGCUUUCCUUUGCAGCUAUAUCCCAGGUCAGAUGGGCACGUGGCUCUGACUUUGAUUUGAGUCUAGCUAAAUGUGAAUGGAGAUUAAUAUCCAGACUGAUGUGUUUUAGGACUUCGGGUGAGGAAAAAAGUCUCUGGACACUGGAAAGUCUUUUCUCUUGCCCACGAAGAAAUGUUUUACUGAGUUGAAUCAUCAGACUGAAACUAACUGCUUUCUGGAGCUUUGAAAAUUUGCAGUAAAUCAUUUGGAUAUAUGUUGUCUUUCAGCUUGUGACAGUUAAGCUUGUCAAGAUAUCUAGUCACUAAUGGAACAUAGAUAAUUAUCCAAAUGAGUCUCCUUGCAAGUUCAUCUGUAGUAGAAAAGACAUUUAUGUAUAUAAGCCAACAGAGCAGCAGGGGAAAACCUAUUCCUUGAAUGGCCGACUCCAAGUUUUACUCAAGAAAUCAGUGUCUCAGAGGUCAGUCACCCCUGUCUUGUGGCUCUGCAGCAGGGCCUAGAGAAGGAUUUGUGUUGUACCUGGAAAAGAGAUGUGAAUUCAGUCCCUCAGUCUGCUGUUACUCUCCAGUGGCAGAAUAAGGGUGUUCCUCCUAUGCAGAGAGGGUUAGGAACCAAAGGGUUUCUCCCUUAAAGCUCUUUGUUACACUACAUUUCAUGUACAUGUAUUAUUCACCUUCUGCAGCAAGGGCCAAGACAGCUGUCAGUUCAGCCUGCGUUUCAGAGCUCUACCCUGCAGCUGUCGCUGUGUGAUGUGUGACACAGGGCAUGGGGUGAAUGGCCCACACUGUAGGCUGGGGAGCAGUUAUUUGCCAGGCAGCUGUAGUCCCAGAAGCACCACUAGAACCAGCCUUGUCCAGGGAAGGCUGGAGGAGGGUUUUGUUACCAAAAGCAAGGCUUUUUUCUCUUGCAUCUAUGUUGUACCAAAGGUAAGGAAUUGUGACACUCUCCUCAAGAGCUUUGCUUCUUCAUUCUUUUUCUUCCAUUUUUGUCUCUCAAGGCCUCUCUAUUGUAAAGUAUUGUGAAACCUACAAAGCUUUGGAACCGUAGCUUCCUUUCUUGCAGCGAGGUGGAUACAGAACCUCACAUGUAAUGAUUCUAGUUGGGUUCUUUCCUUCUAUACUUUUAAUUCAAAUAUGAAGCACAACAGAAAUGACAUCCUGGCUAGAGAUAUUUGUGUCCAUAAUGUCUGGGUUUACUGCAGCCUCAGAGAAGCUGAGGAAAUCCAACAGUUGUCUGGCUCCUGCUCUGCAUACAUAUGGGUGGGCUAUUACAGCUUUGUGGAAAGUCAUUAUAUGGACCUUAGCGAUGACCUAUUCUCUAAGCACUUAAAAGUCGUGGGUAGAUAUUUGACAGGGAUGUAUUUUUGUCAUGCUACUCUCUCUGCUAACAAAAACUUGUAACAUUUAUAGGGAAAACAGCAUAAAUAAGCACAAUCUUCAAAUCGCUCAGACUUACCCCAGCAGCAAAGAAGCCUUUUGACAGAACAGCUCUUGCCCUGGAAGACUGGCUGGUAUCCUCUGAGUCUCUGCAGCUCCUAGGACUCAAGGUAUUAUCCCUAUGUUGUUAGGAUAUUUAGAUGUUGGUCUUUCCCAUCUCAUUCUGAGCUCUCGUGCACAGUGGUGUGUUAUUUAAUGUCUGGUUAAGAUCCACUUUGUCAAAAUAACUCAAGAUUGCAGUGUGAGACUCAAAUGCAGAAGCGGUGAGAAAAGUCAUUCCCAUGUUUUCUUCAUUUUGUUCAAUUCACUGCCUGUGUGUGUAUAGCACCUAGAACUAGGAUGCCUGUAGGCUGCACCACACUGCAGAUAACAAGGAAGACAUCUUGAAAUUCUCACAUUAAGAAACACAUUACAACACAGAUUUCCUCUCGGUCCUGCUUUCAGCAUAGUGAAUGGAAAUAGAGAACCAUAUUCCCCUGUAGGAAAUAAGGGAAAAGAAAAAGCUAAAGUUAAAACUGCAGAUGAAAUACAUCUCUUAGGCUGAUGACUCAGUGCAUGAUAGCACUUUGAUCUUAUCAGUCAGAAAACAAUUUGACUUCAGUCUUUUCUUCUGGGCCAGGAUCAUAACAGCAUUCUAAUCUGAAUGGUUCUGUUCUAACUUGAGUAUUAUUUCUUCCCAGCCUUUACUAUUCUGUUUCAAUGAGAUGCAAAGAUUGCAUCUCAUUAACUAAAGGAAGAGAAACCUUUUUUUAACAGCAUGAAGAUGAUAGCUCUGCAACCAAGGGUAGCGCUCAAAACACCAAAUGUACCUAGAGAUGUAAUGUGGCAAGGAAACUUUCCAAGCAUUCAAUGAGAGAUGACAGCACACAGAUAAAAUACUAAUCCCUUGUUAUCAGCUGUAGGUACCAGACUAAAUGCAGUUGUCAGAAAUUUUCAGCAGAUAUUGGCAGGACUAAGAAGAGGUUCAUUUAGGGUUCUGCUUUCAUUUGCAUAAGCAUUUCAAAAAGUGCUCUAAGAGUCUUGCUUUUCAGCAAAAGAUAAGCAAUUAAAUGUAGUCACAUAUUAGUAUUGUUUGAGGACUAGAACAUCAGAAGUAUUUGACCACUAACACCCGUUGAUUUCAAGGAAAGGCAAUCCAGCAUCGUAGCCUUAGUAGAUGGAGAAGUAUGAAUCCCUCUGAAUCCAGUAAGUCUGUCUCAUCCACAUGUCUCUGUUCUGGCAGUUAAGAUGAUGGUAGGAAAAGAUGUUGAGUUUUUAAAUGAUAUUUUAACUCCCCUCUUUUUCAGAUAAAGGACAAUAAGGUUUUUUAAAAAUCUCUUAAGGUAUAAUACUACUGAGGAAAAAUUUGCAUUCAGUAUCCAUGUUGGGUAUUCUAAGUAUAUUCUUUGGUUAUUACCUGUGUUCAGAUGUUAGCAGUGCAUUGCUGUUAUUGUUAUACAAACUGGAAAACAACAUGUACCAGUCAGUCUCUGCCUCAGGACACGUACAAGCUGAAGAGAAUGAUCUAAAUAUGCUUUAGAGGUGCCCCCUAAUUCAGGUGAGCACUUGAACUAUAAAAGCAGAUUACAUCUACACACGCUUCUCGAGUCACCUGCACAAUGGACAUCACUACACCAGCUGUUCAUCAGCCCUGAAUGGAGGGUAAAGAAAUGCUGGUGUCCACUUCAACAUUUCAGGCUAGUAAUUAUACUGGUUGUUUACCAGGAUGGGAAAAUGCUAUGCUCCUCCAGUAAGCAAACUCAGCACUUCUGUACUUACCAUGCAAAACCAUGGCUUUGGUGGCGGGGAGGCCUGCAAACAAUCUGGUGCUUUUGUCCCAACUUGAAAAGUAGAGCAGUUACAUGUUUUUCUUAGCAACAUUCACCCACUGUUACCUGGCAAGAUGACUGAAAUUUCCUAUGUUUCAUUGCUUUCACAUGUAAAACCUGAUUAAUUAGUAAUGGCAAUACCCAAAAAAACUUCCUUCAUCAAUGUUGGCAAAAGGGUACUCAAAAACAUAUUUCAAAGGAACCUUUAACAGUAAUUGUGCAUAGGGGUGGAUAACCAUAGGCAGAGAAUGGAGCUGGAGCUCCAAAGAGCUCAAUCCACUACCUCCUUGGAAACCAGAGAAACAGCAUUCUCUCCCUGCAUCUCACAGUUUCUCCACCUGCAGAAUGUAAGUAAGAGUACCAAGCUUCACUUAUAAAGCACUUUGCCUGAAGGCUAAGAAAGUUAUCUUAAUCUUGGCUUGUAAGUAUAAAGCACACUUUAUCCACCUCCUCUCACUUCCAUGCUACAGAAUAUCCCUUUAUUUUCAGAGGUUUUCCUACUGUUUUAACGUAAUGAGUGAUUUCAGUCUAGGAGAGGGCAUUAAAAUGAGCAACAGAAACACGGGCCUUCAUUUAGAGACAUAAUCUGUUUAAUAAAUAUGACUGUAAAAGCAAUAAACAAUAGCAAUUAUACAUUACGCUACAUUGUAUUUAACGAAAGGGAAAAAGAAGAUGAAAAAAUACAUCAAAAAAAGUAAUUUUAAAAUUAGAAAUAGUUCCAACACUAUAAGAAAACUUUUUGAUUGGCUUACUAUAAAAAUAAGUUGGCUAAUGUUGGACUUCAGUGGGGAGUAUUAUACAGUUGCUACCAAAACUUUCCCAUCUUUCUUAAAGCUGUAGUUGCAAACACAAUAGCAAAGCCAUACAAACUGCUGUGUUUCUACCUGUCUGCAGAGAGACUACAGAAAGCGGCAAAGGACUUCAUAAUGUGAUCAUCCUUUGCCUCCUAUGGGUCUGAUGGGUGCUCUUACAUUUGGCAUCACUUUUUUUUUUUUUAAUUAUUAUUAUUUAUUUAUUUUGUCAGCUAGUAGGUUGGGUGGUGUUGGUGUCCAAUUUGUGACAGAGAAAUUCAAAAUCAUCCCUCCCCAGCUCCAGUACCCCAGGCUGCCUUGUGCAACAUCUGUUGAACAAAACACAUUCAUAUCAGGAAUCAGGGUGCAUCCUAACCAUGCUACACUGAUUAUGAACCGGCUGCUACUGGCUCUCUGGAAGGACUUGAGGUGUGCUAAGUCUGCUUUCCCCAUUCUUUUGUGUAGCCUACAUGCACGUGUCCUGAAGUCACAUUUCCAGUUGCAAUGUAAGACACCACUUACAUUAUUGGUAAGAAUGCAGACCUUGUACAACAACUGUCCUGUGGUGCCAGGCAUCAAAAUAUAUAUGGGAACAAGCUCAAGCCCAAUCCAGCUUUGCUCUCCCCUCCUCCACCUCAAACGGCAGUAGUUUGCAGAAAACAAUUGGGUUUUCCAAGAAAGUCAUGAGAAACUGCAAACAGACUGUUCCCCGCUCCCUGUUAUAUGGACAAAGUGUCUUUCAAACAAAUGGCAGGCCGUGGGGGGACGCCCAAAAGGCAGAGAUCUCCUGGACUUCCCCACACAACUCCCGAGAUCAACAAUAAAAGCACUAGAGAGUGUUACUAGGCUUUAUCUUAGUCAAAAUUUAAGGUGUAAGGCUGGUACAAAAUGCAGUGUGAGUUCAUGCUGGCAAUACAGACCUCUCUGCCUGCAAUGUAUCCUAGUUCUGUUCAGUCCAAGGUUAGGAGGCAGAAAGUUAUUUCCAAACAGUGCUAUCAAAGGGGUUCCUUCGUGUGAGUAGGCUAAAAAGCUGUUUAAUAAGGACCCUGGCUUUGCAUUUGGGAUUGCCCGAGCUCAUACUCAGUUUCCACGCAACUGUCAGGUACAGGCAGCAGCUGCAGCUAGAGGAAUGAAGGGUAGAGUCCAAACUAAGACAUAAACCAGACUGACCCAAGAAGAUUUUCAGUGCCAUUAAACUCCAGUGUGAUUUCUUUUGUGUCCUAUGAAAGUCUGAUGGGGCGGCUAGCCCUCCCCAGCCCAAAGUGCUAAAAGAGCAGUUAAAUCUAAAGCCAAGAACCCUAAAUGCUCCCUCCCACCUCCCCAGCCCUUCUCCCCCCACAUCCCAGCUCACCCAUCUCCCUAAAGAAGAGACCCCCAUGCAUAUUCUUGGCCUAUAUCAUUAUGAAUUUUCUACAAAUUAGAGACAGAUCAGAAGAAAAGAGAGUGGAGGGGUGAGGGGAAGGGCUGCAGGGGUGAAUAGUGAUACCAGUUCCUCUCCCCCCACCCCCCACUAAAAUUGAACACCUGUACAAUGCAGUUCUGCUAUGGUCUCAGUAUAAUGUCCACAUGCACAGGCUUAAAGCUAAAAACCCUUUGUCAUCUGAAGAAUUAAAAAGUCCAAAUGCAAUGAGUUCUCUUUUUUUCUCCAAUAUAGAUAUAUAUCGAUGUCCUCAAUUCAACCAUUUACAUAGGUAGGGAUUUCUUUUGUGCUCUGGGGCUCAGCAGCUGUGGAAAUACUUCCUGUGGCAAAGAGAGAACAAAAUAAGAGUCAGUAAAUAAUAAGUGUGUUUUGUCUAAGAUGUCUGAAGGUAUAACCUUGCUGGCCUUUGGGAUUGAACGGUUCCAGACUGAUAUGUUCUUCCCACAGAUGUUUUCUCGUCAUUCAAAACACUGAAGGUGAUGUACUGUUCUUUUGCUAAUGAAGAUGAUUCACCCAUGUAGAACAGAAGAGGGAGAGGCCAGAGCAGAGGGGUGGAGGGAAGGAGGGGCUGAGGUCCUCAGAGGAAAAGCGUAACUCAUUUGCAAUUAGAAGGUAUUGGAGAUUUCAUAAAUAACCUUAAGCUUUGCCUUUGCGAAAGAAGAACCUAAACUACGCACACCCAGAAAAGAGGAACUGUUUUUUGCUGCCAGGGUUUGGAGAAAAAAUUAAAUGAUCCAUGGGCAUUCAUUUACAUUCCUCCAAGGAAGGGUCUCUGAAUGUUAGUCAAAGGAGUUGGAAAAAAAACCUAGCUUCUGAACAAGCAUACAAAAGAGAAACACCCAAUUGCAGUCUUGUUUGGUUUUCCCAAAAGAAGGAAAACUCGUUAAAAUAGAAAUUGCUGAUUUACAAAAACACAUGAAGUGGUUGUAUACAAGCGUAAAGAGCCUUUGCACUUUAUUCUAUUCACAUCUACAUCCAGACCUUCCCAUUUUGUCAAUGCUUGUCAAUGAUUUGUCAAUGAUGAUUUAGUUUCCACAUUCAUCUCACUGCCAGAAAGGAAAAAAAAACACUCCUAGAAGUUUGUUGGAAGGAUUUCUUUUGAUAGAGAAUUGAGACUAUCUGUCCCUUUUGUGCUCACUGUUGUAGUUACACGUGAAACUCAAGGAUGAAUAAAAGGCCAAUUUCUGGUUCAAUACAGCGUCCAGCAGUGCAGGGUGCAGCUGAGAAAUCCAUAGAAUGCUAGCUAUUGCAGAAAGCCAAAAAUGCUACAGUUGUACCAAAUGAAAACCAAAUGAAAACCAAACCCCCAAAUUGGCUUUUGACUUCUCUGAUCCCAGAGGCUUCAAGAGAUUAAUUCCCAUCACCAGCAAGAGUAGAGCUAUCAGCUGGCUGACUGUUGUCUCUUCAGUCUGAGUGACCUCUGAAAACUUUUGCUACUCUCUGCUAAGAGUGGAAAUCAUGAUCAUUAAAUUCCUUUGGAAAGAGGAAUCUCAAAGCUCAACUAACUCAGGGAACUGAGUUCCUGGCCUGAAAUUGGGUGUUUCUCUCUUAGCAACUUAGACCAAUUUUGGAGCUUCUAGGAUAAAAAGAGAGAGAAAAAAAAAAGAAAAAGAAAAAAAAAGAAAGAAAGAAUAAUUGUUAAAAUUUAGGACCCACCGCUCCGGGUCUUGGCUUGAAACCUCUUGGUGAUCCACAAGCCUUUUGGAAGUCCUCUGUCCAGACUACCUUGGCUGCAUUUCCUUUCCUUGGGUUCUGGACUGUGGCCUGGGGUUGCUCUGUAUGGGGAACACCACAUGGGAAGGUUGGUUCCCUCACUCCUGUGUACUGCUAAGCAGGGAUAUCCAGGUCUGCUGAUGGAUAGUGGCUAAAAAGCUUUUAAUAGCUACCAGAUCUCCCCUUGAUGAAUGUGUGACGAGAUCACUACUGAUUGCACUGGAGCUUCCAAUUUAGACAUCAAUUUCAUCAAGAGAUUUUCUUCUUUUUCCUCCCAGGAUGUUUCACAGGCCACAAUCUUAGCAUAUCAUAUUUCCUCUUUUAAUUGCCCUUCCCCUUGCUCACUCUCUGUGGUAGCUAAGACAUCAAACUUCAGCAAACUCCCACACAAUUUAGGGACUUCCUUGGGUGGGAUCUAGCACUUGGUUAAGUUGAUGAAAUUGUGAAAGUAAAGGAUCUUAGUUAUGACUAUCUAUCAAUUCUGUCUGAGUCAGAAGAACUGUACAUUUUAUGAGUAAUUCCUCUAAAGCAGAUCUAUGUUCUUAUUUGCUGGAGUCCUGUACUGUUGCUGUGGUCUGGGCCUGCAGAGCUUUCCCCUUACAAACAAAGCUGAACAAUGCCCAAGCAAUUCCUAAGCAAUGUUGGCUUUAGAACAUACCCCCAGACUGAAACCUCCCUGCUUCAUCCCAACGCUUUUACUUUAUUCGGGGUGAUGUGAUAACAUAAGCAUGAGCAAAUGGGUGACUGAACCCAGUAUGGUCACCUCAGUGCUGUUCACUUUAAAUCCUAAUUUUUCAACCAGAGUCACGUGGGAGCAAUCAACCUGAGACCAAACCCAGUAGCCCAGUGCUGAGAUCCCAGGUUUUGCUUGAUUUCCCUGAGAAUCACUCAGCACUAGCACUGCUGCUGGCAGCGAGGUCUGGCACACCACAAAGGCCACAGCAGUGAAAACAUGAAUGAAUAUUUAACUUUUAGAUUUGACUUACCGAAUCACCUGCUCACCUCCAUGCUCCAGGUGAGGGUGGCUGAAGUUCUCCUGGACAGGACUCGGGUGUGAGGUGUAGCCCCAUAACAACAUCAGCCCCAGCAAAAUAAAUUAAAUUGCCUUACAGCGCAAGUUAAGUGCAGCAGGGUUUUUGAGAAGGGAAGAGGAUCUACACAGAGCAACUAGGAGAGGGGAAAAGCCUAAAGUUGUUUCUCUCCCUUUCACCACAGGGCAGUGAGGGAGAGGGGAGAGUUAGCAAGGUUUCCUGUAGCAAAACUAACACUGCAGCAGAAGAGGAUGGCAGGAGGAGUGUGCAGGGAGAUGGGAAAGGGGAAGACUGAGAAAAGGGUUAGCCAAUUAUAAGUCAGAGUCUGACCAACUGUGGGUUGCUGCAAGUUAUUUACCUAUGGGCUGGACAUCCAACUUCUCAUCUACUAGUUGCUCAGGGCUCAUCAGCUCACUUUGAGGGACAUUAGGUAUGCUUUCCCUCUGACUGACUGGACUGACCAUCUCUUGAUCUUUUUCAUUCUGCAUCUGCGCAUAUAUAUUAAGGCCAGGAAUCUUCCUAAAACAUUAACAGAAACCAUCAUUGGGGGGUACUCUGGCAGAUGAUGUAGCAUUAGCUUUUGCAAACCAAGAAACCGUGAAAAGGAAAGCUCAGCAAACAAAUCCCCAGCAGCAGUGGGGGAAGGAAAUGGCCCAGGGAAGGUCAUACCUUUUGAACUUGUAGAUUACAAACACGGCUAGUCCCACAAAAACGACAGAGAGGAGCAUCAGCAUUGCUGAACCACUGUGACUGGGAGUGAGGUCCACCAAGGGAGCUGCAAGAGAGGGAGAGAAGGUCAGAGUCACCUUCAGCCUAGAGGGAAAAGUUCUCUCUCCAAAAAUGUACUUAAUUCUCUCCUAUAGCAUUUAUAACAGUCUCAUCUGUCCACCUGUCUUCAGGGCUCCUCUCUCUUUCUAAUACAGCUGGGAAGAAACCUGGGUUCAGACUAGCUGUCGUGCUCAGCCUAAGCCCUGAAGGCACCAUAGCUUUCUCUUUAGAGGCCUCUCCUCUCUGGCACUUUAUAGAAUAAAGUCUGAAAAAUACCCUGUUAUGUUGUAGGCAGUUACCGAAGGUAGUUGCAAAUGAGGUCACUUGAGUACCAAACCCAGACUUUCUGAAGGAUCCUGGAGCUACCCAUGGGCUACCUUGUCAUGUUGACUUUCUGUUUUGCCUGGAGCUAGUCUGGGUAGCUCUCAAUACCUGCUGAAUAAUGAGCAACUGGAUACUGGAUUUUACUGAAGCAACAGUAUCCCAGUACCAAAUGUACUGCUCUUUGCUCAGUCCUCUUUCUUCACAAUCAGAAGUCUGGUGCCCUUCACAGACAUUGCCUCAGCAUCCACGCCUUACCAUGGCAAGCUCUUCUCACACCUCUGACAUACUCAGUUUCUUCAUCUACCAUUCCUCUGAACACUUCUCUCUUCCCCCCAUGCCCUGUUUUCUCUCCCACAAGUCGUCUUUGCAAGGAAGUGCAAAGGUUCAAGAAAAAGAAAUAGAAAAUAAAAAAUCAAACAAGAAGUCUCCCGGUGCUUCUCUUUAGAGUUUUACAGCACCUUUUCGUAGCUCCUUGCAAAAUAAGGCCACACAAAACAUCCAGAAGUGUGCUUUCCCAGAAAUACAAAGUAAACGAUAUUAAAUAGAGGCAGUUUCUCUCUCUCAAAUAACACACACAGACAAACAGAAGGAUUCCAGCAGCAGUGUUGCACGUACGCAUGCUUUCAGCAAUCACACCCAGCCUAUGAACCAGAUUUUAUCAAGAGAAGUAGAAAAACUUCCCGCAUCCCACAGGCUGUGCUCAGGAAGCUGAGGCAUCUAUUGCUAUGAAUCCUUCAUACAUCUGAACUGUGUUUGUACUGUGUGGCUCUCUGCAGUUCUGUGGGAUGGUGAAGUGGAGCUCUGACUGAUUCCAGCAUCACUCAAUGUUCGUGUUCUAACGCUGCACUCAGAACCUUGCCAUAAACAGCUAUUUAACUGCGUUGUGAGGAAUGCUGGCGUAUUUUAUUCUCCCUUAGAAUGGAGGCUGUUGUUCACUGGGUUAGGGACAUUGUUUUAAUUUUUUUUCAUGAGAAGCAGAAAUGAACAUGAUGAAUGGAUUGCAGUCUGUUGUCCAGAAUUGCCAUGAAUUAAUCCUUCCUCCAUUGCGGCCUGAACAAAGAACACAGAGGCGUGAAACGUGCUGAGCCCGAUGCCUGUCAUUCUUCUGUGUCCCAGGGAAUGCAUGUGUUUAAAUACAACAUACACAAAGAGGCUCAUUUCGGCACAUCUGCUUCAAUGUUAAAACCAAGUUAAUUUAGAUACCUGCACUUUUGUUCUCUGCAGCUUCUCUGAUGCUGAGAUUUCUGCUGUGCAUGACCAGGCACACACACAAGGAGCAACAUAUGUGUGCACUGAGAAAUGGGGAUGCAUUUACAUACAUGUUUGCCUGGACAAUGCCCUAGACACAUGGUCUGAUUUUUGAGUGGCCCUGUGCGGAGCCAGGAGUUGCACUCCAUGUUCCUUCUGGGUCCCUUCCAACUUGAGAUAUUCUACAAUUAUAUGAUUCCAUAAUACAUAUGUGUACACAUGCACUUACACAAGCUGUGGGGUUCAGUCCACACAGAACCCAUAAUUGCCAGGAUUCCAACACAAAGUCAAACUGGAAAUAGGAUUCUACAGACCAGAGCUGCAUCUCUCAGCCAUGUGAAUCCCCCUGGGUUGUGUUUCCCAGGGACUGUUUCUGUUCUCUGCAUGAACCACUCCCAUGUAUCCCUGCUUUAUCUUACUCAGUUUUUUUAAAAGCUUGAAUUUCAAAAGCAGAAUUCUUCUUCCUUGACAAGGCAAACAAGAGCUUUCAGAAGCAAAGUAAAUCUCUCUUUUGGCGUUUUGUCAAAUUCUAAACUAUUCCCCAGUUUUUAUGUCACAAAAGUGGGCUUUUUAUUUAGUCAGGAAGUGGAAUCAUGACAUCAGCAACAUGAUAAAGGACAAUAUUCCCUCAAAGACUCCACGGUAGAUGCUCUUUGGGCCUUUUAGUAUCUAAUUUGGCAAUCCAGACUUAUUUUGCAUUCUUGCUGAAUCAUACUUCUGCAAGAGACAAAAUCCUGUAGCAUUCCUAUAGGACAUUGUGAAGGUGGUUACAGCAAUCACUCACAUCUCACUGAUAGCUUAGAGUGGAAGAAAACAAAACCUACCUGACAGCACAAAUGACUGUUUGCAUCUAUUACAGAGAAAAAGUAUUCAUUCCUGGUGCAUGCAUAAACACAAAGAUAUACAUUUUCAGCAAGCACAGAGAUCCUGUAUUUAUGCAGCAUGUCUAAACUGAGCAGCCUCUGUUACACAGCAGAGCAGUGUGCCACACUGAUAGACCCUGUCUUUUGGUUCAUAGAGGGCAGAACACGAGGCUUCGUAUCCCAUGCUGUCAGUACCUGUGCUGUCUGGCUUUGGGAUUGGAGCUGCCCAGCUUUUAGGCAACCCCGAGCUGGGGAUCCUCUGCACACUCAAGCAGAGAUAGCCCAGAUUCCGCUCCAAUGAGGUGCAGAAGGCUCCUACACACAGCACAAAAUUUGGAUGAAAUUCAAAUGGAUGAGAUUCACCCUGUAUGAAAGAUGAGUCUGGAGACAUAAUUUUAAGCAUCAUGUUUCCACUGCAUGAAAUCCAGUAUGUCCCUGUAGUAGCAAGAGGUGAAGGGGAGCCUUAACCACGUAUUUCUGAGGCAAUUCUUUCAAACUACAAUUUAUUAGAAAAGGCUUACAGGAUUGUCAGGGCCAGAUGAGUCAUUUCUAAAUGCUGGUGUGGGAUUUGAUCCUGACUUCAACGAACAUCAAUCAAAAGGCAAAACAGCCAUGUGCACAAGCAGAGUAAACACACAGGAACAAAUUACAAAAAACAGUGAGCAAUUUCAGGCAACUCCAUGUUGCAAGCUCACAUUUAGAUGCUUUCAGACAGUUUUCUUGGAAUUCCAAGAUGAGCACUGAGCAUUUUCUCAAAGAACAUAUUGUAUCACUGGCACGGCAGUCCUUCAGGGCAAGGAUUGCUUCAUUGGCCAGAAUUAUUAUACAAAAUGUGUACAGAUUUAAAUCUUAAACAUAGAGUUAUACAAUUCUUAUGUCAUAUGUCUGUGAACAUUUUUUAACUAUCUACAAAAUAAAGAACAGUCAAACUUAAACUGACUGUCCAGGAUAUUUUUACUAUUAUUUUUAUUAUUAUUAUUAUAUCCUUAAGAGAUUAACCAGCUGUACUAUAUUUUUGCUUUCCUAUGCUUGUGGCUCUAACUUGUCUAAAAGCAAACAUCUGCUCAUAUCUUCCACAUCUAAAGGAAAGCUGAACAACUUUCUGUAGAGCAGAUCACUGGUAUGAGUGAACUGAGGCUUUUUAUUUGCAUGUUAGCAGGCAAAGCUGAUCAGAAUUCUGAUUUUUCUCCAGGAAACCCACCAGAAAAGGAAAUCCUAAAACCCUGAGCAUGGAUUUAUACGUCCCAUCUCCUGCAAUAAUUAAAUAGGGACUGUGUGUACUGUGAAAUGAGGGUUUACUAUACAGAAUACGCAGAGACACGUGUAAUUAAAUAUCAAGACUUUGGAACUGGUUUAUUUUGAGAUAGGAUUAGUUAAAGGGCAAACUGCCUAAUCUUGUGUAUGUGCAUAUGUAAAUUGAUUCUAGUCUUUCAGACUGCUGAGCACCUUUUUAACUGUGCUUUGCUGCUGUGAUCAUUCAUUUGCUCCAGAUUAUCAGAAAAUGUUCAACAGUUGCUGGUGAGCUUUGCAUUCUGUGAUCCAGGCUGAAUAUACCACAGUGCUGCUUCGCUUUUGAAUAUUUCAGAGACAGCCAAAAAGUACAUACCUCCACUGCUGGCUAUAAAUGCCACUAUACGUUUUUGACAUGACAAAGAACAGAGAAUUGGAGUGGACAUUUUCAUUCUGCUCACACGCUGAGCUGUGCUUACUUAUCAACAGACAGUGUGUUCUAAGAAAGAGGACACCCACCUGCUGUUAAAUGGGCAGCAUGGACAAGGACUCGAACUCCUGGCUUCAACUCAAAAUGAACGAAGUUUUGGUUCAGCUUCUGGAUCAGUAUUUCUGAAAUCUGGGUGCAAGAAGAAAAUAAGAAAUGCAUUUUUUUCUUUAUCAUUGGCUUAUAUUGCCAAUAGUUGAGUAGGAAAUGGAUCUGUAUGCUAAGCAAAGAUUUUGCAGUGGCACUGGACUUUCUGAAUACCAAUUCCUAUCACCCCAUGAAAAGAUGUUUCAUGGAGGCUGAACACAUCUCCAAGUACUAUGUCCAGAGUGGUAUGUGGAUGGCUAGCAAUGACUGAUACAAACAAAUUCACCCCUCACACUCCUCUAGAAGCAGCCCAACAGCAAAUACAGAUCGAGCCCCAAAAGAACAUUACACCAGAUAGAGUGCCUGUAGGACCAUCCCACAACAGCAGAACAUAGCAAAAAUAAGCAUUUCAGUUGUUAGCUUCCAUCUGCUCAAAACAAAGAAAUUACUGAGUAGUCAGCUUUAGUUUCUUACAGCACGUUCCCUACACACCUGGAUCAAAAUGAAGGGUUUAAUUUCUUACCCCAGCUUGCACUGAAUUUCAAGGCCUAGAAACAAACUUAAUUUCAUUCAACUCUAAGUUUCAGGCCAGCUUUUCUCUGAUUCCGGAAACAUACCAGGAACAAUACGAAGCUCUGAUAAUGUCUAUGCAGUUGACUGAAUAUGAGGUGUAUUUGUCUUACACAAAAUGUACGUUAUGUCUAUUCUUCUGGGAUUCACAGAGAGAACAUGCUCUUAUCCUCUAUUUCAUGGAAGAGAACUCCCACAGAACAUUUAUUUCUCUCAAUUUUCUUUCUAUAAUUGUGAUGAAAACAAGAAGAACUCUAGCAGAAAAACAAAGCAAGUUAUUCCACCAUAAAUGAUGCAACAGAAAAGAUGAGCAUUUGCUAAGAUAACGCUGCCUGAAAUCUGUAUUUGUAGAGUCAGAAGUCCAGCUCUGGUCCAAUCUGUUGGUAAACAUCACUGUUUAAAAUCAGUUUUUCAGGCCACACACACAUAGCUACUUUCUCCAUUUUAAUUUUUAAUUGUAUCCAGGAAUUUUCAGAUAUGUUGCUAGUAAAAGCAAAAUUCCAGAUAGAUUAAUCAAGGAAUGGAAACCCGUAGACAUAUUGUUGAUAGUUUCCUUUGUCUUCUAUAUGUUCAUUCUGUGGAUGUUUCCUGUUUCAUCUUUUCUCAGAGCAGUAAGCAAUUUUCCAAUUGAAGGUAUCCGCUCUUUUGCAUGUGGAUAUAUGAGGGAGAAGUGGUUGGAAAAUGACAAAGAAAAUUCCACCCCACAUCCCUUACGCAAUUGCAGAGAAUGCUGUAUUUUUACAGCCAUGCCAACAUAAAGAGGAACUGCACAGUAAUGCUCAACACUUAAUUUAAUUUGUUUUAAAUAAAUCCUUAUUCCUUCUUGAAGAUUAAUGAAAAAUUGUCAGAAAAAAAAGAACAUUCCAAUAUUUUUUAAACCAUCCUUUUCAUGUUCUUCAUUUUUGUCUGGUUGAGCUAUUUCAGUAAAUCUACCCUGAUAUGAUUAGAUGUUCCUUGGCUAUCAUUCAUCACAGUAUGAGAUUUAUCUGCUGCUUCUAUUUUUUUAACGUUCUUAAUGGUUCUUUCAAUUCUCUUGGCUUGUACACUUCAUUUUUGGCUGCUGAUCACUUGAAUAGGUGCCUUUGGUCCAAUAUCAAUUUGGCAAUAAUUCUUACAGGCAUUUUAUUUAUAUUUUUAAUAUAUCUCUUUAAAGUUUACAUUUUUUUUUCAUGGGUGCCAGAAUGAGUAAAUAUAUUUCUUCCAACAGUAAGAAAAAAUACCACCUGCUCACAAAGAGCCAUCUGGUGAGCUCAGAGCAGCAGGGAUGGUGACAUAAAGCUGUGCUGUAUGUGAAGAAAGCCUGGGAAGCAAAUUAUAUCCCUCUUUAAGAAUUUGAGCAUAUUAAUAACCAAGACUGACAACUAUAAAGAGCGCUUCAUCUCUAAAACUGGAGCAACAGAUGCAGAUGGAAUGCUGUAAACCAGGUACUCAUGGCUCAUGGAAUUUAACUAAAAAAGAAGGUCUGUACAUGUGAUGAAUAACUGAGAAUGCAGCGAGCAAGUGUUGUUACCUACUACGGACCUCAUCAGGAAUUUGGGCAAGGAAUAGAAGAAUAGGAGAACCUCGAGAAAGUCCGCAUGAGAAGGGGCCAGAGAGUUUUGCACUAGCGAUGUGGAAAAAUGUUUUUAUCUCUUCUGGCCUGGCUGAGGAGGCAUGCAGCAGGAUGAAGAGGAUGGAAUGGUGGUACCCAAAGGGACACUACAGCUGCAGGGUGCUGUGGCAGCCUCCUAGCUGGCAGUCUGUGUGUGUGAGAGAAAGGCCAGCAAAUGUUCUCGGCUGGCAAGAUGAUGGAAAAUAGGAAAAAGAGAGGUCUUAAGAGUGAAGUAGUAAGAAAAAUGAAGAAAGGAAGAGUGAAACAGUCGCAACUGAAGUUUAUUGUCAUUGCAUUGCAUUGUUACCUUGUUGUAAAUGAGGACCUCAUUGUAUAAAUGCAACUCAGAAAAAGAUGAUUUCUGCCUGAAGUCAUCAGCAUUUCUGCUGUCAGCGUUCCCGGACUACAUGCAGAGUCAAAACAGGCAGCAGCUGUUCAUGCUGCUUAGAGUACACCACAUAUUCCCUUGCCUUAGUUAAGUAUAUGCUCUCCCAGUAGCUUUCAGAGUGCAGAUUUUUACCUGGGUCUCUAUGAACUCUGAACAAAUCUGAAAAUGAAUAACAGUCCAAGACCUUAAAAAGCACUAAAAGAUCUUUUAGGAGUCAGACAUAUGCCUUCCUUACGCAAGGAAGAAAAGGUGUAUUCAGAUAUGUUUUUGAAAUGUUUGUUCACUUGGUACAAUAUUUUAAUUUUCCUUUCUAAGGAAAGUAAGAUUGUCUAUACAUACAUUAAAAAAAAGAGCAAAUCAUAGAUUUAUUUCCAUACACCUAAAAUAAUGUGAAAUAUAAACCAUUUGCUCUGGCUUAUAAACUUCAUUAUUUGAGCAGGUACAUGCAGUUAAAAGGCCAACUUCACAUUGGUAUUGGACACAACACUCCAGAGUAAGUAGGUAAGUUGGUGCUGAUGUUGUUUCUGGUCCUCACACAGUCUCGGGAGGAUCUGUCAAGUGUAGACACACACUCAGACUGGAGAAGCAACGUUUCUGCCAUUCUUAUUCUAUCAAGUCUGUUUCUAGCUCAGCGGAUCACAGGUUAGUGGACUUUAACCUAGGUGUCUUUCUGACUCUCAUACGAUUUGUGUUGAAUGUUAACAAAACAUGCUUGAAGUAAUUCUCCACACGAGGGCUGAUCUCACACUUACUGAGGUAAUCAGAUGGUUUCAGCAGAAAACAAGGUUUUUUGCUUGCCUUUAUGUCUGCAUUUAAAGUGGUACCAUGGAAACAUUUUUGUUCAAAAAGCAAAUGAGGAAAUGUCACAGUACUUUUGCCUAUUUAUUUAGUGCAUAUCUACACAACUCUAACUGAACAGCUAGAUGUUCAGCUGGGGAACAGGUUAGCAUCAGUUUAGCAUCCCUGUUGCUCUCUCACUCAGAUGUAACUAACUCAGCUGAAGAUGUAACUUCUUAGAAUAGCAACCUUCUAAUUUAUAGUCUUGAAGAGUCUCCCUUGUGAAAAUAAUUAGCUUUCAGAAUUAGUUUUGGUCCUUAACUGAGCCUCAUUGACUUUAUCUGCUUCAUUUGCAGAAUUAAGCAUGAUGUGCAAAAAUAAUUCAGUAAUAGAAACUAUUCUUCAUGUAUCAUUUUUCAUCAAAGGACACAUGAAUAAUGAAUAAUAAUAACAGACAAUUUGUGAAGGAAAAGAGAUUCCAAUUUAAAAAUUGAACAAAACAAAAAUUAAUUUGGCUUCUCUUAGCAUUUUGUCAGAAUUAGGACUAUGAAGGAACUGUAUGAACCAAGAAACAGAAUUAUCACUCAGAAGAGCAUUUUCCCAUUCAUUUAUCGAAUUUUGAAAUCUCUUGUGUAAAUUGGUUUACACUAAUUGAAUGUGAUUCAAAUGUGCCAGUAUGUACUAGUUAAGAAUCUAGAUUAUUUUUAAAGAUAAUGUGUAAGGAUCUCAGCUAAUGAGCGCUACAGUUCUGUUCAAUUCAUUGGGUAAAUCAAUAAACAACUAAGGAAAGAAUUAUGCACAUUGACUGGUAGGAAGCAACUUGAACUGGUGGUAAAAAAGUGAAACAGAGCUCAGGGCAAACAUGGAUUACAUUAAACUGUGCCACUCACCCUAAAAAAAACCUCAUUUACUUCACACGAAGCCUCUAAACCUCUCUUGUCUCAGUUCUGAAAAGACCAAAGUCACUGACUUAUUUGGGUCAAGCAGAAAUUUCUUACGUUUUUUGAUGAAAGAUGCAAAAAAUCAGGCUGCCAUAGUAUUGAGACAGACCACGAGAGCACAAGGUGGAGAACAUGUCUGUGGUUAGUCUGGGCCAAGAACUGACCAGAACAUACAAACUCAGAUAGACCCUGGAAAUAUGAACAAGGAUACACUUUAGCUAAGCCAAGGUGACCGGAAGUCUUGAGAAUCCAGGUCUGCUCUGUAUAUUGAGCAAGAAUGAGGAGGUGAAAAGACUGAUAGUCACAUAGCAGGAGUUAGUUCACUGGCAUCCUAGCGGAAAUGCUCAGUCACUGCCUGAAGCACUGAUUGAGCACCGGGUGGGAGGGCAGGGUCAACCCAGUGGAGCUCAGCUGCAAGCAAUGCCCCUGAGUGACAGGAAGGGGUGGAGCCAGGAUCCGACCCUUCCCUGCCCUCAUUUAAGGGUUGGCGGUGGAGGUAAGGGUAUCUGCUUGGAGAUCUCUGCAUACCUGAGGCCUUCUGUAGGUAAGCAAAUUUUCUUGCUUUGUUUCUGUAUCUGUGGUUUUUGUAUUUGGGCUUGUUCUCAUUUGCUACAGCCUGGGACUUUGCCACUCUACUAUUACUGCUGUAUUUUCCAUCAUGUUAUAGUAUUACAGGCAUUAAAUUACACAGAUAAUAUCUUUUAUAACACACAAGCAGUGGAUCAAGAAAAGCUAGCUAAGGAGAAAAAAAAAACAACAAGGAAAUGUUCAUGUUGUUCCUUUUUCUUUUCUUCUUAGUUGCUAGGCUUUCCUUAUGCAGCAAAGCUACAAAUGUUAAAAAGAAGUCUUUUCUAGUAAACUUCAGAUACUUGCUCCUCUUCUUCCUAGAACUUAAUUUCUAGGAUUAAUUAGCACCAUUUUCUGUAGGCUCUGAAAGUGUUCACUUAAUCGUUACCUUGCUGAAAUAUUGUGAUUAUCGACUGAAAUGAAUUACACGAGAGGAAAGAAGAGUAAUGAAAACAAACGUGCUAAAACAUCAAAGUUUAGGAGAGGGGUUCAGAACCCAGCACAAAUAAAGAUAGAAGAUAAGUCACAUACAGUGAAGCAGAAAUAAACCUUUACAGAGCAAAUCCUAGGAUGUAUAAACAUACAGACUUGUGAGCACCAGCUUCCAUAAUGCUAGAGGUAUUCUGCCUCUUCAGUUCAUCGCUGUCCAUUUGCUACUCAGUCAUCUGUGUCAUUUCCCAUCUUUUUUACUGGGUAGAGAUAGUGGUCACAGCUGCAAUAUGUUGAUCAUUGUUGGCUACUAACCAGCUGGUGAUGCCAUUUGCCAAAUACUCCAUCAUGCUUUCUACAUUACUGAUAGCUCUUCUCAGAGAUAAGAUUAAUGGCUUCAAAUGUCAUUAGGUAGUUUGUAUGGGAACUGUUGAAUCAUGGCCUGAACAUCUGAUUGGCCACCUGAGGUGAGUGCUGAGUCAGCUGCAGGGGCACAGGUGAAUGCAAUUUCACCUGAGUGACUGGAAGACCCUAGACCCCCAUUUAAGGGCUGACUCCCAAGGAGGAAGGAUCUCUAUCUGGAUCUCUAUCUCACCCUUCCGUGAGCCCAGGACAUGGGUAAGCUCUUUAUUUCCUUACUCCUUUGUAACGUGAUAAUCUCUCUGAUUCUAUACCUGUAGACCUAUUUACCUUACAAUCUGUGUACCUGUUUGCCAUACAGCAGUUGCUCUUACAUCUUUGUUUACACUUCGCUUUUACAGUCUCUUUGAAUAUGCUAAGUAAACAGAAAACAUAGGAAGACAUUCAAACCUUUACUUCAUAUGAAAACAUCUCUUUAGAGUUCUUAAAUGUCCUGCUUAGAUUUGACUUAGCAGGAGAUACACUUCCUGUAUUUCAUGAAAAGUCUGCAUUAGGGGAUAGUGUGGAGAGAGAAAAAUGCAUGCAUAAUUAUAAAGAUAACCCUUUACAAUCCUCAUACAGAGUUAAAAACAUGCACUGAAACAACUGAGUGAUUAUGUCUAUUUGUUCCACUGCCCUCUGUUGAACUGUAAGUAGAAUAUUCUUCCUACUGUGCAUUCAUUUUGAGUUGGAUUAGUGCUAAAAUUACUCAAAAAUACUUGAAAUAUUUCUAAUUAAUGGUCUACCUUUCAGAGAAGAGGAAGAACUCUAUGCUUUUGAAUCCAGCCUAUGUGAAUUCUAUAAUCAUCACGUUCACCUAGCCUGUCCAUAAAGACAGUCUAACAAUUGCAUUCCAGACCAAGUGGCCAAUGGUUAUUUUCAGGGGCUCUUUUUGCAAGGUAUUUUUGAAGUGUUACAGUGACAACAUGGAAAUGAAGCAGCAGCAUUUUUAUAACUGUCAAUUAUUUCUCAGUUUUUUAAACAGGUUUCUGUCUGUCCUGCUGGGAAACAAAGCAGGGGAACCAGUGCUGUAAUUAAGGGGGGGGGGGGGGGGGGGAACGAGGGGGGAAAAAAAAAGAUGAGUUUAUAGCAUUCUUGUUGUGAAUACAAGAUAUUUUUGGCAUUUGUGAAAUGUUUUGGGAUUCCACGGGAUGAAACUACUUUUUCAUUUUUAUAAAGCUAUGAAGAAUAAGUUUAUAUUGAUCAUAAAAAGGAGAGUGGACAAUGUAAUUUGAGAUCAUCACACAGUCUGUAUUUGUGUUUGAUGGAAUCGUCCUAUAUUGCGCAUUGAGAAAGCAUCUCCAGUCUCAUGCACAACAAUUCUUUCAUCUGUCAAGAAGAGUUUCUGAGUUAAAGUGAUUUCUAUUCUCCUGUGGGAAGUAUCUGGAAUGUGGAUUUGAAUAUUGUGAAUGUAACUUGUGGAGGAAUAUGAUGCCAAUUGGUACUUGUAUGGGAAAUAUGAAGUCAUGGUGUGAACCAGUGAUUGAGCACCCAGUGAAGGGGCAAGGCCAGCCCUAGCACCACCAGUGGAUGCAAUUCACCUGUGCAACCAGAAGCCAGGCUCCACCCUUCCCUAACCUCAUCUAAGGGCUGGCUGCCACAAAGGAAGUCGUCAUUACUCAGAUCACCUCCUUCAGAGUGUUUGGUGAGCCCUUAUCCUUGGAAAGGGGUAAGCAAUUCCUUUUAUUUACUAGAUUGUGACCUUUAUUUUUCUUGGGCAAUUGAAGACUGGUUUAAAGCAGCUAUAUCUCUGGCAGAACAAGGGUCUGGAGAAAAAAGUCCUGUGGUGACAUGGCAUCCCAGAAAGAAUUGAAUCAGAUAUUGGGACUCAUUUCAAAAAUUUUCUUAUAAAUACUUGGGCCCAAAGAUCAUGGCAUUGUGUAGAUUUAACAUAUCACCUAUCAUGCAAGAGCAUCUGGUAAAAUUGAAUGAUACAAUGGGUUGUUACAAACUAUGCUGAAAGCAAUAGGUAGUGGAACAUGCAAGCACUGGCUGAAGCAUUUGGCGGAAGCCAUGUGGUUGGUCGAUACUAGAGGAUCUAUCGGCUGUGAUGGUCCUCUACUGAUUCCAGCUCCCUACAUACUGUAAAGGGAGAUAAGGUACAUGUAAAGAGCAAGUAGGGAAAAGCAGUUUGGGUCCUUCCAGCCUCUGGAAAGGGCAAACCUCUCUGUGUUUUUGCCCAGGGACCUGUGUCCAUUUAGUGGGUGAUUCAGAAAGAUGGGGGUAUUCAAUGUGUACCACAGAGAAUUUGAUGUGGGGGGAGUGCAGCCAGUAGUUCUGUGUGUGUGUGUGUGUGUAUAUAUGUAGAAAUGUAUGUCUGAGUGGAUGUAUAUAUGGGUGUGUGUGGAUGUAAAUGCAUUUUAAUUAUUGUUUGUAUAUAUAUGUACAUAUAUAUUAAGCAUGAUGUAGUGAUGUAGAAUAAGGGGUGGAUUGUCAUGGUUUUGUACUUUUGCUAUUGGUAUUCCACAUCUAAUUACUCAUGCUGUACAUGAUGUUAAAAGGGUUAAUACUCCAGUUGUUUGGAUUGGCAACCUUCCAGGUACAUGCUUCUCAAAAGAGAAGAACAACUGCGUAUUCCAGAGGACCUCAGGGUCAGAGAAGGAAGAUACGUCAAGGAGUCAGAUCCCAUGACUUCCCUCUUGGCUGUCUCUCACUGCUAGGCAUAGUGGUGCCUUCAUGUUUAUGUACUCAGCAGCUCAUGAGUAACUGUGUUUAGUCAACUUUAACAAGUGUCAAGUGAGAUUUAGGUUGCCAAGGGAUAAGUAGACAUAUAGCUGCCUUAGAAGUCAAUGGGAAGUUAGAGACUGAUCACAGAGACCUUUAAAGUAAGUGUGGGGGGAGAAAGAAUGAGCCUAUGCAAUAAGUACUUAGUUGAUAAAACCUUAUUCCCUUGCAGUGUGUGUACAAAGUGCUUCCAUUUGGCUCCUGUAUAAUUUGAAGUUUCCCUUCCAAAUUAGUUUAAAGUCUGGAUAGCUUUACUCCUUCGGGUCUGCACCUGCAAACACAUGGACUUGCAUCCUAGCCUUCAAAUGGCUCGCUACUUGCUCAUGAAUACAAAACAGUUGUAUUCCUUUCAGAAAAGAAAACUAUACAUCGUAAAGUACCUAAGAAACAACCUGAGCUAUCAUUGGCAAAAACAUCUGCUCUCAGUAUUCAUCUCAGCAAAUGAGCUUGGAACACUUUGAGAAAGGAUAGAAAAGGAUUACAGAACAAACUACAGGAUGGCAAAACAGGAACAGUAUCAGAAUAUGCUUCAGAGCUGAGGGGGUAAAAACCUUUUGGGGCAUUUCUUAGGUAGUUCCCACAGAAAACAAUCCCAUUUCCUACUAGAAUCCCCCUGAAGGGGAAUGUAGUAGCCACAGACCAGUAAGAAAUACACUCCGAUGAUCCUGGUGGGAGCAGCAAGAUACUUCUCCAUAAAAAACAGCUGGCUGCAAUGGCAAAUAAUCUUGCUCUCUUCAAAGGUUACUCUUCGGGCCCUGCGGGAUGCCAGUGAAGUUGCAGGAUUCCCAUUGAAACUGAAGAAAAACCACCACACACACCUGCCUCUUCUUACAUACAUUUCUCUGCCUCUUGGUUUGAAACCCAGAUCUUCGGACAAACAGUGUUUUUAUGACAUUCUGUUUCACACUAAGGGAAGGAACUUCAGAGCUUCUCCAUAGUGCUGAUGGGAGAAAUGGCACCCAAUUUUGACCCAUGAAACUCAUGCUAUAUGAAAAAUGUAAAGUACAUAUUCUGGUGCUCUUCUUAGUAGUGAAAAUUAUUUUCUCCUUGGUCUCUUAAGUUUCCUACAGCAUAUUUGUAAUACUAUUAGAAUAGCAUUGCUUUCUACUGCUGUAUAAGUACAGCAGUAAAAGAGGAAUUGCGAUGCAACAGAAAAGACAUUUGUAAAGCUGGGGACACACACAGGUAAUUUGUUUUCCAGAUGCCCUUUUCUCUGAAAUAUUCCAUUAAAAAGAAUAAACUGAAGUCUGACUCUGAGCACUAGAUUGUCAUAGGAUGGGAUCAUUUCACCUGUAUAAAAUUUAGGAUUCUGGACUCAAACACUCAUCUAUCCUCCUUUUAUAGUUGCAAGGGACAGAGAGACACCUUGAAAGAACAAUUUAUUUGGCCCUAAUGUAGGCAGAAAGCGGAAGCUGAGCCACCAUAAGACAGUUUAUGCACAUUGCUUACCUCCACCAGAGCUCUCUUGACUACACGGCUGAUGUCCCUUCUCCACUCUGGGAUAUCUGGAUUGUAGUCAUCCAGGUUUGGGGAGAAUGAUAACCGCAAGGACCGAAAUUGCUCUGCAGAUACAAUGACACAGUGGUAAGAUAUCUGAAAAUGUCUUAGUGCUGAAUGAGCAGAACUUAGUGAAACCUGCUGCAGUUUGUGUUUUGCUUUUCUUGAUCAAUCUGCAAGUGAUGCAUACGCUGUCAGAGAAUCCAGCAGUAAAUCUGAGUGAUUCACUGCUGAAGUGUCACAAAACUGAAAAAGGUGAUAGGUCCUUACUUUAAUGGGUGAAUAGCAUUGGAAGGGGAGCUGUGUGGAGAAUAUAAAUGCUACCUUCUUCUUGAUUUCUGAAGAAGAAAAACUCUGCAAAGGAAGCUGUGACUAUAUUCUCAUAGGCACGUUCCAAACACUUGAAAUCUUAACUGGACCGCCUUGGAAAAAAUGCUUCUUAAUCUUUGCUUUUGCUAACAGAGAUGCUCACACUGAUCACUUUCACUACGUGCUUAGGGAAUUCCCAGUGGUUCCUGGACUACACCCACACUAUAUGGCAUUUGUUUGUCAUAACUGCUUCUGAGGCCCGAGAACAAUAUCAGAGCAGUACGGAUUUCUGUACAGGACUGCACCACACUGCACUGCCUUGUUAUUUGAGCCAGGCAUCUUCUGUGUGAGUAAAGAGGCCUCUACUGGCCAAGAAGAGGAAACUUCAGCUUACAAAACAGCCUAAAAAUUUUAUAAUUGUGUUGGACUAACAUAUAGCUAUGGAUAGAUCUGACACAGAGGGUUCUGGGAAGAAAAUCAACACUCUGCAAUCGUGUCUGUCUGGACUACUGUCAGUCAGAGGCAUUAUGCUGAAUCGAUACCACUGGAAGUGAGCUUACAACCUCGCUCAAAGUAUCCUGGAAUUAAGACCUUAUAUUGUUUCCUGCAUCUUUAGCUCUUGAUUAUGGAGAAUCCUAUGUAAAAUGAAGGGAGAAGGGCUCACCAUACACAGCGAUGGUCUUUGUGUCCUGAAGAAUGGUGUUUCCUGCUGAGACCUGAACAGUGAUGGUAUUCAUCCCUUCCACAGAAAAUGUAAAUGUGAUGCUCCCUUCCAAAGUGAUCAGUGGCUGCAAAUACAUCAGAAGAAGAGAAAAUAAGUUAAUUCAGCUGUAGAGGAAAAGCAAAGCUGAGUUUGGCUCUUUGGCCUAUUGGGGUUAUUUUGGGAAUUGGUUCCAGCUUGGAAACUUAGACAUAGGAAGGAUCAUGUGACAUGGAAGCCAAUUUUCAGGGUGCCUAAAAUUUCCAAAAAAAGAUAGUUACUAAGGUCCUGCUAUUCCUCAGUAGCUCUCUCCAGGUGGCUUUCUGUUGAGCAUGAUGUCUGUUUGGAACCCCAUGUUAAAGUGUCUUUGCUGCACUCUCCAGAGAGGUGCAGAUCCUAAUAGGAGGGCCCACCAGACUCACUGAUCCCAUAUCAUGCUCCUUUCCCAGAUCUAGCUGUGGUUUGUUUAAGGUAUUUAAGGAGGUUGUGGCAGAACGAGGAGGCAAAUCAACAUUUCUCAGUUGCUCUCCUGUGUUAUUCCUAGACAUGGAGAUGCUGCUUUUGGAAAAGGAUGAGUUUUAGAGAGAACACAGAUCCCCUCAGCUUGGUCUGCUGUGAAAACCAGUUAAUCAGUGAGCUGUGCUCCCUUUCAACAGUCUCUGCCCUAACUUCUGUUUUCGCUUAUUAAUGAACUCUGGAUGAGAUCUUCAAAGCACAUAGUAUUAAGUCAAACUCUGUUCCCAUUGUAGUCUGUAGUAAAAUUCUCACUUCAAUGAGAACAGAGUUAGACCAACUCUGAUCACUUACGAGCUUAGGAAGAUCAGAGGGAAGGUUAAAAGGUGAGAAUCACAGCCUGUAAGUACCUCAAGGGAGAGACGAUUUCUGAUAUAUCAGAGUCCUUUAAUCUACACACAAAGACGUAACAAGAUCCAGCAGCUUGAAACCAGAGCUAGAUAAAUUCAGACUACAGACACAGGGCAUAUGUUUAACACUCAAGAUAAUUAGCUGUGGGGAAAAAGCUGGGGGAGAGGGUAAGAAAGAAGCAGUGAAUUUUCCAUCAUCUGAGGGACAAAGCAACAAAAAAUUCAAAUUCUACUUUAAUCACAAAGAGGUAAAUAAAGCAGGAAGUGUUGAUGCAAUCCUCUGACCUGCAUUAUACAGAAGAAAAACAUGCGGUUGAAGGCCCAUCUCAGCUCUACCAAAGCCAUAAGAAUCUCUCCCCUUAGAGAUUAAUAAGGGUGUCUGGGUACUACUGCCACAAAGGUACAUACAAUAACGGUUGCAGUGCCAGUGCAGAUUUACUAACUCUGCAAGCACAGAGGCAGCAGAAUAUGUUGUAUGCUAUCUUCAGCUUUUGUUACUGCUCUUACAGUGAGUGAGGGGAAAAGCACACUAGAAGCUCUUUGGGACCUUGGUUCUAUACAUCAACCUUGGAUGAAAAUGCCGGUACAAAGCUAUUGACAGUUGGCAUGAAAUGGCAAUAAACCUGCAGCUAAGUCACAGCAAUAAUCACAAAAUGGUUCCCAGGUUUCAAUGUUGGUACAUCAGAGAUCUAAAUUAGCGUCUCUUCUUCUGACUUGCAGUUUUCUUGUGUGGGGACUAUCUAGAAGCAUUUUCAAACUCUUCUCUUCCUCCUUUCCCACUCAGAAUUCCUCCUUAGAAUCACAGAAUCGCUCAGGUUGGAAAAGACCUUAAAGAUCAUCAAGUCCAACCAUGACCUAACCAUACUACCCUAAC